UCUCUAUGAUGAUGAACAUAGGUUAAGAGUCUGAUGUAAUCUAUUAUACCAAACCGUGUGGAAUAAUGAGGCAUUUGUCUGGGAGAA
rfam:Triticum aestivum genome assembly, contig: Triticum_aestivum_CS42_TGACv1_scaffold_434326_5DL